rnacentral:rRNA from 1 species
AGGGAACCAGCCCAGAUCACCAGUUAAGGCCCCUUAAUAAUUGCUAAGUGUUAAAGGAUGUAAUCAUACGUAGACAAUCAGGAGGUUGGCUUAGAAGCAGCAAUCCUUUAAAAAGUGCGUAAUAGCUUACUGAUCAAGUGUGUUUGCGCCGAUAAUGAACGGGACUAAGUAAUUUGCCGAAGCUGUGAGUUUAUACGGUAGAAGAGCGUUCUGUUUUGGUUUGAAGCAAUAUCGUAAGUAGUUGUGGACUUUACAGAAGUGAGAAUGUCGGCUUAAGUAACGAAAACAUUGGUGGAAAUCCAAUGCUCCGAAAACCUAAGGGUUCCUUCGCAAGGUUCGUCCACGAAGGGUUAGUCAGAUUCUAAGAUGAGGUUUAACAACGUAAUUGAUGAAUAACAGGUUAAUAUUCCUGUACUAUAUUUAAAGUUGGUUAAGGUUGAAGAAGGAGGCUACGUUAGCUAAAGAUUGGUUGUUUUAGUUUAAGCUUUAGGGCGUUGAGAAGCAUUAAUAAAAAAUGUUUUGAGCUUAGAAGUGAAUACUUCAUUACUAAGGUUUUGAAGUAACUUAUGUCAUACUUCCUAGAAAACCCCUUGUAAUCUUUAAAUUUAAAUAUAUCUGUACCUUAAACUGACACAGGUGGGUGAGUAGAAUAUACUAAGGAGCGCGAGAUAACUCUUUUUAAGGAACUCGGCAAAAUAGCCUUGUAACUUCGGGAUAAAAGGUGCCUUAUUGAAAUAAGGCUGCAGUGAAUUGAUCCAGGCGACUGUUUACCAAAAACACAGGUCUCCGCUAAGUUGUAAAACUAUGUAUGGGGGCUGACGCCUGCCCAGUGCCGGAAGGUUAAAGAAACUGGUUAGCUUUUGCAAAGCUGGUGACUGAAGCCCUGGUGAACGGCGGCAGUAACUAUAACUGUCCUGAGGUAGCGAAAUUCCUUGUCGGGUAAGGUCCGACCCGCACGAAAGGCGUAACGAUUUGGAUACUGUCUCAAGAAGAGACUCGGUGAAAUAGAAUUAACUGUGAAGAUGCGGUUAACUUGCACUUGGACAGAAAGACCCUAUGAAGCUUUACUGUAACCUGGAAUUGAUUUUGGACUUUUUUUGCGCAGUAUAGGUGGGAGGCUUAGAUACUUUUUUUCGGAAAACGUGGAGCCGUCAAUGAGAUACCACUCUGAAAGAGUUAAAAAUCUAAAAGCAUUUUAUUUAUCUAGAUGCUUGACAGUUUCAGGCGGGCAGUUUUACUGGGGCGGUAGCCUCCUAAAGUGUAACGGAGGCGUACAAAGGUUUUCUCAGACUGGACGGAAACUAGUUUUAGAGUAUAAAGGCAUAAGAAAGCUUAACUGUUAGACCUAUAAGUCGAGCAGGGACGAAAGUCGGUCUUAGUGAUCCGACGGUUCUGAAUGUAAAGGCCGUCGCUUAACAGAUAAAAGUUACUCUAGGGAUAACAGGCUGAUCUCCCCCAAGAGUUCACAUCGACGGGGAGGUUUGGCACCUCGAUGUCGGCUCAUCGCAACCUGGAGCGGUAGUACGUUCCAAGGGUUGGGCUGUUCGCCCAUUAAAGCGGUACGUGAGCUGGGUUCAGAACGUCGAGAGACAGUUCGGUCCAUAUCCGGUGUAAGCGUUGGAGUAUUGAAAGGAGCCCUUCCUAGUACGAGAGGACCGGAAGGGACACACCACUGGUUUACCAGUUCUUAUGCCAAUAGGAAAUGCUGGCUACCCAAGGGGGGAGUGGAUAACUGCU